UGGGGAAUAUUGCACAAUGGGCGCAAGCCUGAUGCAGCCAUGCCGCGUGUGUGAAGAAGGCCUUCGGGUUGUAAAGCACUUUCAGCGAGGAGGAAGGGUUCAGUGUUAAUAGCACUGUUCAUUGACGUUACUCGCAGAAGAAGCACCGGCUAACUCCGUGCCAGCAGCCGCGGUAAUACGGAGGGUGCAAGCGUUAAUCGGAAUUACUGGGCGUAAAGCGCACGCAGGCGGUUUGUUAAGUCAGAUGUGAAAUCCCCGCGCUUAACGUGGGAACUGCAUUUGAAACUGGCAAGCUAGAGUCUUGUAGAGGGGGGUAGAAUUCCAGGUGUAGCGGUGAAAUGCGUAGAGAUCUGGAGGAAUACCGGUGGCGAAGGCGGCCCCCCUGGACAAAGACUGACGCUCAGGUACGAAAGCGUGGGGA
rnacentral:rRNA from 1 species